CCUACGGGUGGCAGCAGUGGGGAAUAUUGGACAAUGGGGGCAACCCUGAUCCAGCCAUGCCGCGUGUGUGAAGAAGGCCCUCGGGUUGUAAAGCACUUUCAGUGAGGAAGAACGCCUGGUGGUUAAUACCCAUCAGGAAAGACAUCACUCACAGAAGAAGCACCGGCUAACUCCGUGCCAGCAGCCGCGGUAACACGGAGGGUGCGAGCGUUAAUCGGAAUUACUGGGCGUAAAGCGCGCGUAGGUGGCUUGAUAAGCCGGUUGUGAAAGCCCCGGGCUCAACCUGGGAACGGCAUCCGGAACUGUCAAGCUAGAGUGCAGGAGAGGAAGGUAGAAUUCCCGGUGUAGCGGUGAAAUGCGUAGAGAUCGGGAGGAAUACCAGUGGCGAAGGCGGCCUUCUGGACUGACACUGACACUGAGGUGCGAAAGCGUGGGUAGCAAACAGGAUUAGAUACCCCAGUAGUC
rnacentral:rRNA from 1 species